rnacentral:lncRNA from 1 species
UAUUUUGUAUUGGUUAGAAUUUUGUUCAGUUACAUAAAACAGAAAACAAUAGUGGCUUAAGCAAGAUGGGAUUUUCUUUCUUUCUCUCACUGAAAAAAAAGGUCUAGAAAUGAUCAGUUCAGGGCUGGUUUGGUGACUUCAGGUGUCACCAGGGACCUACGCUUCUUCUGGCUCAUCCUGCCCCUAUUCCUAAAGUGCAGCUCUCAUUCUCAUGUCUUGUGGUAGUUGCUAGAGUGAUAGUCACCACAUCCUCAUUUAAGAAAGUAGGAUGGAGAAAGGAGGGUGAAUAAAGGGCACACCCCCUCCUGUUAAGGAGCUGGCUUCGAAGUCCCAUAUGACACCCACUUGCAUCCAUUGUCCGGAACCCAGCCACAUGAUCACACUUUGCUGCAAAAUUGCCAGGGGAACGUAGUUUUCAGCUGGGUGGAAAAGGGAUCAGCAAAAAAUUGGUUUUGUUACUAAGAAAGAGGGAAUGGAUACUGUAGAGCAAUGAGCAGUUUCUAACAUACAUGUGAACAAAAUUAUCAAAAGAAAUACAAAUGUAAAAGAUUUCAGGGUCAACCUUACCAACAGUCAAAUAUAAGUAAAGCAGGUGGCCUUUUAUGGUCUUGUCUGGCUAAGGUAUUGAAGAGCUGGCCAGACAAGUCAUGAAGACAGUCAAGAACUGACUGUCUUCAUAAGGACCGACUGUCUUCAUAAGAACCUUGGGACAAUGCACAUGAACAGAACAGAGUUUCAGGGUAAAAAUGGCCCUUUCUCCCCAACUAGAUGGCUCAAGGACCCAAGGGCCACUUCCUGGCUGUUCCCCCAAAGUCUCCCUCCAACUCCCAAGUGACAUCAGAUUCUGUAAAUGCUGGGAAGUAGAGAAAAAUUCUGUACCCAGGGAUUCUCUAACUAAACUAUGGCUAAAAUUAAAUUUUAGGUGUUUUUGAAAGUUCCUUUAAAAAAGUAAUAUCCUCAUGCAAACUGAAUCAGCAGUUUCAGAACUUAAAAAAAAAAAAAGAACCUCUGUCGUAUUCUUGGGGUAUCACAAAUUAAACAUGAAAACCAGCCACUAAAAUAAGGACCAGUGUUUGGAUACUACAUGGGGGUGAUGUUAGGCAACCUCAAGUUAUGUCUUUUGGCAGAUUCAGGACUUUAUGUGAGCUCCCACAGAUGGUGAUGUCAAUGCCACCACCCUUCAGAAGGCACAGAGAAGGAAAGUGCAGAGGACACGGCAAGUGUGGAUUCCACAGGCUUCUGAAGUUCAUAGGCCUAUUUUGAAUAGUUAUUGUGCCUUUCUCAAUCCAGACCAGCAUCAGUUACCUCUCACGAUUUAUUUGAAAGCAUUUACUUCUAGUGUUUGCUCUUUUUAAAUGGUUGCUGAUUGGGAAAAAUACCAGAGUAAACUGAUGUUUCAUGAAGUCUGGGGGAGACGAUCUUUAGGGCAUGGGAAGCAAUAUGAUAUAAUGACGAAACGUGCCCAUGCUUUGGAAUCAGAAACACCUGGAUUUGAGACCUAGCUCUGUGGUUUACCAGCUGUGUGUUCUGGGACAAGUUAUUAAACUUCUCUGGGGCUCAGGUUACUUGUCUUAAGAUGGGCUAAUACAGUGCUUACCUCGUUGUAUCAUCAAGUUGGGUAGGAAACAGAUGGUGAACUUGGACUGGGACUGUUUACAAAGGUGUGGGGAGGGCUCAGGGAAAUCAAGAUGAGACAGUGAAGCAUAUGGGGGCUAGCAACAAUGGGGAGCUGUUACCACUUGUAACCUGAAGGUAUGAAGGAAGGGAAUAAAUGGGUAAGGGGACCCAAAGGAGGCAGCUAUUGGAAGGGUGUCUGGCAGGAGCUGUGGGCUCCAGUGGAGGAUGCAGUUGGCCUAAAGCGACCUGAUAGGGACCCGGGGGAAUAACUUAACCACUUGCCCUCCUCGGGGAACUCCUGACCUCAUCUUCCUGAGUCCUUCCAUCUCUUGCUAAUGCUCCCCAUGGACCAAAUCUAACUAGAAUCCAGAGGCAAGAUAGAUGAGUGAUGUGGCCCAUUCAGGUCAGCCUCCCAACCCAGAGCAGGUAGAGAGGACGGAGAGUGGAUCUGCAGGGGCAAACAGAAGAUUAAUCAAAAUAGAGACUGUGAUGAGGUUAGCAUAAUGCCUGGAACAUAGUAAGUCCACAAGUCCUCAACAAAUGUUAAUUUAUUUUGGACUUUGGACUCUCUGUCUGCCUGUUUUGCUUAUUGCUUACUUCCUGGUUUUCAUCAGCUCAUGUAUAGUUGAGAUAACUUCCAAAUAAUCAAGUAUUGUUAUCUAUAUUGGAGUGUUUUGAAGGAGUAAUGAGUGUAUAAAAAAGAUAACCAGAUACUCUGGGGAUUAGAGAUGACAGAGGGAAACAGAGGAAGGGGAGUAAGUAAGAGAAAAGGAUGGAGAAAACUGUAUGUUCCCUAUGAGGCUGGAAUGAACGCAAGAUUAUCUUACUUUAAAAUCAAAUCAUGCACUUAUUGGGAUGUGAUAACAGUGCGUUUGCAAUUUUACAGCCCAGUGAGACUUGCCAGAAAGGGAUUUUGCAAGGAAGGUCUUCCUGCCCUAAAGGAAAACCUAGUGCUUACUUCCAGAUUAAUAAGUCUUAACCCAUCAUGCCUGCUCCCCCAAAACCAAGUAGUCAAAUGUGUUAACCUGGAUGUUUAAAUACCUGCAUGUUCCUGCCUGGGUGCCUGGGUCAGGUGAAUGUUCUAUUCUGAUUUGGGAAAUGGCUAGAGUGUGUUGGUCGUCGCCUGGGAUAGCUCCCAGGUAGGAAGGGAGCCCCAGAGAGUGGUCUGAACAGUGACUCAUAAACUCAGUGUCCUUUCCUCCAGCCUUUACCAGCUGCUGACUUGGCCCCUUAGGAAUCUGUCUUCAUUCCGCAAGCUAUUCUCCAGUGUCUGGUUCAGGCUCUAGAGCAGAGCAUUCCAGGCUUUCUGUGAUUCCUGGCCACCUGUUCCAUCUCCAAGACCCUCCAGCAUCCUUCUCUCAUUUGCUUACCCUACCCUCCAGGCCUUUGCACAGGCCACUCUCUGUGCCUGGGACAUACAUUCUCCUUCUGGCUAACCUUCCGCAGCCUCCAGGACCUCUCAGGUGUCCUCUCCUCUGGGAGCCCUGCUGGACUGCCCACGGGGAGUUGGGAAGCCCUUCUGUAUGCUCCUGUUAGCCCUCUUUGAUUCUCUCACUCACAGCACUUCCACACUGUCUUGGUUUCCUGGCUCAUCUCUCCCAACACACUGGACACCCCUUGAGAAGAGACUUGACAUAUUCAUCUUGAUUUUAAUGCCAUCCGGCAAAAUUCCUGGCACUCAGAGGGCAUGCAAUAAAACUUUACUGAAUGAAGGUUUAGCGCGUAAUUCAGAAAAUAAGCAAGAAAGUGUCACAAACACCAAAGCAAGUUAACCAAGCUAUAUGUUCUAGAACAUUCUUCCUCUCCUCCUGUCACUCUGGCUCUCCUGCGCCUACAGCAGACAGGACAGAGUCUGCUCUUUCACCUGCUCUUUUCUAGUCUUUUCUUUCAGGUAUCCCCUGAAAUGCCACUUCCUCAGAGGCUAUCCUUGACUACCCAAUCCAAAGCAGUCACUCAGUCACUUGAUUACACUUCAGUCUAUUUUAAUUUGUUAGAGAGCACUUACUGCUAGCACCAAUGUUUUAUUUCUGUGUUUUCUUUCUAUCUCCACCAUUAUGCUGUAGCUCCAUUUGAGUAGGGACCUUGUCUGUUCACUACUGUAUGCCCAGCAUCUAGUACAGUGUGUGGCAGAGAGUCAAGUGUUCAUUAAAUACUUGUUAAAUGAAUGCAUGCCACUGUUACUGCAUGCUGAGUUAAUUUGAUGUAUGGCUUCUAUCACUGCUAUCAGAUUAGGUGCUCUAGAGAAACUCAGAAAGGGCUGAGUCUCCUUAUGACAUUGCAGGGUGGGAGGGGGACCUCAGUUCCCUUCCUAGGCCUAAGUGGGAUAUGCUGCCUGCUUGCAGCUUCCUUGUGGCCUGGACUUCCCCAUGGAGGCCAGAUGCUGAGCAACCCCAGCCCAUGUGUCUGAAGGCUCUGAAUACCGAAAUGUUCCUCUAGCUUUCUGUGAGAGCAGUUGGAGCUGCCCAUUGCCUACACUGAUAGAGGAAUGUGCCCAGGGCUCCUGGCUGGCCUGGCACCCAGCAGGAGGCAGGCACAGUGGCCAGCACGGUGAGGACACAUCACACUUCUUCUUUUUCCCAUAUCCCUAUGCUGAGAGUGCAUGCAGCUGCCUGGCUGGGAGCAGAAACUGGCCUCACUUUCUGGGGCCUGCUGGGCAGACAAUGCAGCUCUCUAGCUGUGCCACAGAACAGGGCAAAUCUUUACUAGCUGUGGACUCACUCCCUGCCCCUCCCAUUCCUGCAGAAAUUGCUCUACCAGCUCAGCAGAGGGCCAGGUCUGGAAUCUCUCACCUGUCCCUGGCCCUUCCUUUAAGCCCUCUGGUUUACUGGAAAUCAUAAACUGUGAGACACAGCCUUUAUCACACCCUGAACAGUUCACUCUUAAUAUUUAAUGCUGGAGGCUAAAACAACCAGGGACACUGGAGGCCUCCUGCUUACUCUCAGUGACUGAUGUUUGCACCUGGUAAUUGAGGUCAGGUUGCUUCUCUUAAGUCACAUGAUUUGCAUCAAAGCAGGAAGGUGUCGGGGCCACUUGUUGCAAAGAGACCAGGAGGCGAUCCCAGCAACGCUGCAAACCAGCUUUGGCAGCAAAGGCUGUGCUUUCAUGGGAGCCAGCCCUAGGAGUGUGGAGCUGGGCUGGCAGCUGGUAAAUGACCCUCUCGGGGCCUGAAUAAACCCUAGCUUUUCACUCACAGCAAACUCAGGAUGCCUUCCUCCCUCUAAAAGACCUGCUGAAUUGAGUCACUUUCAAUCCUUUCUGGAGUAGGAUGGGGCAUUAGUUAAUUAACAAAUUAAUUAAGCAUGCUAAAUAGUCACCCAGAAGAUACUGGUCACUUAAGGGUCUCCAAAUCACAGUAUAGGUCCCACCCUACCCAGACACCUAAUCUUGUUUCAGGGUUUGCUUGACCUCAGGCAUUUAUCUCCUGGUUGUCAUGGAAUCUGCUCAGAUAAACAGCAGCACACCAACCUGGCCCCUCUGCCAGCCUCAGAUCCUUCUAAGGCAGUGGAGCUCCCUGGUGGCCACCAGCCACCCGGGCUCCAGGCAGCCCAACACACACUCCCAUGCUGAGGUCUCUCGCAUGACCUCUCUAGGCACACAGUAGGUGCUCAGUAAAUGCUGUGGCAUGAAGGACCCUCCUGGAGUGUCUGAGUUCUCAGGCUUCAAGGCCCCUAGAUAAGCAGAUUUCUCUCCCCUAUCACCAUAGUCACCCCAGGGACUGCAGGGCAGGCCGAAAUCAGCCAGUGACUCAGCUCCUUGGGCAAUUCAGCUGGCCCACAGACCACUUCCUCUGCUCCCCAGCGCCGGAUGGAUGCAGAUCUGUGAGUAAGGAGCCAGCUGCAGGCAAGCAGCUCGAGGGCAGGUUUCCAACUAAGGACUGAGCACACUCUCAACAUGGACCUCCUAACUGCUCUCGAGGAUGGACAGCUGGCCUCAAGGGAACACUGCAAAGUGGCUCUAGGAAGAAGCCACUGUCCCUCCAGACCAUAAAAAUGGCUACCAAGGGCAGAGCCAGCAGCUUUCGCUGUAAAGUUUCUCAAGAAAAUCACAGAUAUUCCCCUCUGUGAUGUUCAGCUCAGCCUGGAAAGGAGAGGUAGAAACUGAGAGUUGAAGAGGCUGAAUAAUUUCUCAAGCACACUCCCAACUCGACCACCCACAAGCAAAAAGGCAGAGCUGGGAUUCAAACACAGGUAUGACUGUGUGUGGACAUCUCCCCUGUGCUAUGCUCCCUGAAGGAAAAUUCUAAGUGGUGUUGUUUCUGGGAGAAAUCUACCUGUGUGGUCUUUAAACCUACUCUGACAGGAGCAAGGGCCACCACUCUGUAUCUAAGACCACUGGGAACAGUCUUCAGGCAACAAGGUGACCAGGGCAGCUGCAGAGGGUAUCUAUGCCCCUGCCCCCUAGCGCAAAAGUCUGUUUCUCUUUCCAAAUGGCCCGCUGGGAGCAACUAUUUAGGGAGACCAUACCUCCUCCCACACUCAGUUCCCAGGCCUGAGCCACAGAGUCCUGCCACAGGAGGGAGGACCUGCCUGUCCUGCUCCCUCCCCACUCCAGGUUCCUGGAGGCCUCUGUGAUGAUUCCCCAGGAAGGACUACAGGAUCUGGCAGGCAGCAGGUGGCGGUGGGAGGAGGAGAGUCCUGGGAGCACAGCACUCCUAACCCCCUCUGCCUCUCACAGAACAAAGAGGGAGUCAUGCCAUGUCCCCUGCUCCCACAAAUGCCCCACCCAGAGGGGCUAAUGCCUAGGAUUGAGGGUCUUGUGUGCUGAGGAAGUCCUGUCCCCCAAUCCCCUACAAAAGCCAGAACCAGCUACUAAGGGGUUAGACACAGACAGAACUGUCUAUAUUAACAUUUCCUCCUAAAAAACAACAGGAAUCCUGGGGAAAGACCACUGGCCUGGGACUCCAUGAGCCCUGGCUUCUAUCUCUGGCUUUAUCAGGUGACCAUAGGCAAGUCACCUAGCCUCCAUGGUCUAGGCUCUCCUGCCUGUUGGGUGGGAAUCAUUACAUAUCACAAUCAUUACAGCUGACCUUCAGGGAGGCUGUACUCUGGGUCAGGAAUUGUGUUGGGUGCAUUAUCAUAUUUAUUCUCACAGCACCCUUUGCAGUAGCUACUAUUUUCAUACCCAUUCUCAGAUGAGGAAACUGUGGAACAGGCUGGUUAGGGGACAUGCCCAAAGUGACAAACUUAGCAAAGGUGGACCUGGCACUCAGUACCACAUCUGUUUUUCCAUGCUCUUAACCACUGUAACAUACAGAGCCCUUUUACAGAGAUCAAGGACAGAGGUAAAAGUGUUUUGAAAGCAAAAAAAAAAAAGUGGGGAGGAUGCAUAAAAUAAACAUAAAUCACCCCCUGCCCCGCCCAGACAUAAUUCAGGGAAGAGUCCUAACCCCCAAGAACCUUCUGUGGAACUUAUUCGCAACAUCAGAGACCUCCAACAUAGAAAUGACCCUCAAUAAGUCAUUCCUCUUUCCCUUCAGGCAGGAAUAAUAUAACUAACUGAAUUAUACAGGUGAGACCACGAAGGUCAAGCAAGGGUGACCAGCUUAGGCCCCUGGCUGGCAGGUAAGGAGGAGACUGACCCCAGCCUCCUGGCUCCUAGGGGAGGAAACAGUGAUGACAAAGGCCCCUUUGCAUGGCCAAGGUGGAGCCCUUUCUACCAAAGUUUAAACGUUUUAGUAUAAUAUCCAAGUGCAUCUUUUCCAACCUUAAAAACAUAUUUAAUUUCCUUAUAAAGCUGGUUGGCACUCUCCUCCUCCUCCAAAGCUCUGUAUUAGGCAGGGUUCAUAGUUGUAGACAACAGAAUGAACAGUGGUUAGUUCAGCCAGAAAAGGGAUGAUAUAGGAGGAUACUGGGUUGAUCAAAGGCUCUCUGGGAGGGCUGCAGAUUUAGAGCCAGUCAGCCAGGAACGAUGCCUGAAACAUACCUUAGAGCUGGAGAAAGAACAAAACCCUACCUUUCUUCAAUAGCUGGCAAGGUGGCAAGGUCUGGCCCCAUGCAGCCUGGGCUCUUCCCACUCUCCUCUCUCCCUAAUGCGUUGCCCUACUCGCUGCUUCCCAGGCAAUCCCACCUCAGGUCUAUGAACUUGCCAUUCCCUCUGCCUGCAACCUAGACAUUCACAUUGCUAGCUCCCUGGCUAGCUCAAAUGCCAGGUUUCUGCACAAAUGCUCCUCCUUAGAGAGGCCUUCCUGGACCUCUAGGUCUCUGGCCCUAGUACUCUAUCCCCUCUCCCUGCUUUCCUCUUCUACUUCACUGCUCCUUAACAUUGUGUUAUACAUUGUCUGUCUCCCCAACUGGAAUGUAAGUGGCACCAGGGCAGGGACUUGGGUUGUUUUGUUCCUUGCUGUAAGCCCAGGGCCCAGGGCCAGACCUGGAACAAUUAGGUGCUAAGUUAUUUGCUGAAUAUUCUAUGAAGGAAUGACAAAGGAAUGCAUAAAGAACUUCAAAGUUCAACUCCUCGAACUUCAAACUUCAAAUCCCCAACUCCUCCUGCCUAUGCUGGACGAUUAGGGCAGUAACAGGAGUCAACUUGUGCUGUGCUGUCACCUUGCCUGGAUCCGCAUCAGCCCUGCAGCUCCCACUUUGGAGGAGACUUGCCCAGGGACCUACAGCUCUGAAGCUUCUCUGACAGCCUCUGCAGCUCUUGGAACUUAUCUGGGCUGCUGCUGUGCAGACCAUGGAUGCAUAGCUGAGUUCCUGCCCCUGAUUUCCUAGAGUCUCAGAAAGACAGGGAAGUGACUUACCCAAAGUCCCCUUUCACCCUAUAAACAGUUCAGCCCAGGGAGUGAGGCUGACACGCAAAUGCAGCUAUGUAUAGACUCAGAGUCAUCCAAGGUCAGGGCUGGGUGGAGCCUUGGUCACAUGCAGGCCAACCUGUGUCUGGAGAUAAUGCAAGCCAGUGCAGGGGUUAGCGUGUACAUGGACUCUGGAGUCUGGCAGAUCUAAGCCCCACCCACCAACCUGUGACCUUGGAGAAUUAUUUGAAAAGACAUUAUUUGAAAAGCAGAUGUAAAAUGGAAAUAAAAGUUCCUAUUUAAAACA